UACGAAGGGUGCAAACGUUGCUCGGAAUUAUUGGGCGUAAAGCGCACGUAGGCGGCUUGGCAAGUCGGAUGUGAAAUCCCUCGGCUCAACCAAGGAAGUGCAUCCGAAACUGCUGAGCUUGAGUACUUAAGAGGAUCGCGGAAUUCCCGGUGUAGAGGUGAAAUUCGUAGAUAUCGGAGGAACACCAGUGGCGAAGGCGGCGAUCUGGGAAGAUACUGACGCUGAGGUGCGAAAGCGUGGGGAGCAAACAGG
rnacentral:rRNA from 1 species